rnacentral:rRNA from 1 species
CGUAAAGCGCAUGCAGGUGGUUUGUUAAGUUCAGAUGUGAAAGACCCGGGGCUCAACCUCGGAAUAGCAUUUGUAAACUAGGCAGACUAGAGUACUGUAGAGGGGGGUAGGAAUUUCUAGGUGUAGCGGUGAAAUAGCGUAGAGAUCUGAAGGAAUACCGGUGGCGAAGGCGGCCCCCUGGACAGAUACUGACACUCACGAUGCGAAAGCGUGGGGAGCAAACAGGAUUAGAUACCCCUGGUAG